GCGCCGGUAGCCCAACGGCAGAGGCAGCGGGCUUAAAACCCGCAAAGUGCGAGUUCUACCCUCGCCCGGCGGACCA
rnacentral:tRNA from 1 species